rnacentral:rRNA from 1 species
GGGGAAUUUUGGACAAUGGGCGCAAGCCUGAUCCAGCCAUGCCGCGUGAGUGAAGAAGGCCUUCGGGUUGUAAAGCUCUUUCGGCCGGGAAGAAAUCGCAUGGGUCAAUACCCUGUGUGGAUGACGGUACCGGAAUAAGAAGCACCGGCUAACUACGUGCCAGCAGCCGCGGUAAUACGUAGGGUGCGAGCGUUAAUCGGAAUUACUGGGCGUAAAGCGUGCGCAGGCGGUUUGGUAAGUCAGAUGUGAAAUCCCCGGGCUCAACCUGGGAACUGCAUUUGAGACUGCCAAGCUGGAGUUUGGCAGAGGGGGGUGGAAUUCCACGUGUAGCAGUGAAAUGCGUAGAGAUGUGGAGGAACACCGAUGGCGAAGGCAGCCCCCUGGGCCAAUACUGACGCUCAUGCACGAAAGCGUGGGGAGCAAAC